ACCCGGUGCUUGCACCGGUGAUUAGUGGCGAACGGGUGAGUAACACGUGAGUAACCUGCCCUUAACUCUGGGAUAAGCCUGGGAAACUGGGUCUAAUACCGGAUAUGACUCCUCAUCGCAUGGUGGGGGGUGGAAAGCUUUAUUGUGGUUUUGGAUGGACUCGCGGCCUAUCAGCUUGUUGGUGAGGUAAUGGCUCACCGAGGCGACGACGGGUAGCCGGCCUGAGAGGGUGACCGGCCACACUGGGACUGAGACACGGCCCAGACUCCUACGGGAGGCAGCAGUGGGGAAUAUUGCACAAUGGGCGCAAGCCUGAUGCAGCGACGCCGCGUGAGGGAUGACGGCCUUCGGG
rnacentral:rRNA from 1 species